GAUGAACGCUGGCGGCGCGCCUAACACAUGCAAGUCGAACGAUUAAACCGCCCUUGGGCGGAUAUACAGUGGCGAACGGGUGAGUAACGCGUGACCAACCUUCCCCCCGCAUCGGGACAACCCGGGGAAACCCGGGCUAAUACCGGAUAUGCCGGGUAUGGCGCAUGUCAUACCCAGGAAAGCUUUUGCGGCGGGGGAUGGGGUCGCGUCCCAUCAGGUAGACGGCGGGGUAGUAGCCCACCGUGCCAACGACGGGUAGCCGGGUUGAGGGACCGACCGGCCACAUUGGGACUGAGAUACGGCCCAGACUCCUACGGGAGGCAGCAGUGGGGAAUCUUGCGCAAUGGGGGAAACCCUGACGCAGCGACGCCGCGUGCGGGAUGGAGGCCUUCGGGCCGUGAACCGCUUUCAGCAGGGAAGACAUUAAGGACGGUACCUGCAGAAGAAGCCCCGGCUAACUGCGUGCCAGCAGCCGCGGUAAUACGUAGGGGGCGAGCGUUAUCCGGAUUCAUUGGGCGUAAAGCGCGCGCAGGCGGCGCACCAGGCGGGAUCUCGAAACCGGGGGCUCAACCUCCGGGCGGAUCCCGAACCGGUGUGCUCGAGUGCGGUAGAGGAAGUCGGAAUUCCCGGUGUAGCGGUGAAAUGCGCAGAUAUCGGGAAGAACACCGAUGGCGAAGGCAGACUUCUGGGCCGACACUGACGCUCAGGCGCGAAAGCUGGGGGAGCGAACAGG
rnacentral:rRNA from 1 species